GGGCCUGCUCGGUGAAUAAUAUUUAACAGCUGCGGUAUUAUAACUGUACUAAGGUAGCAUAAUAAUUUGCCUUAUAAAUUGAGGCUAGAAUGAAUGGUUUGACGAAAAUUAUACUGUCUCUUACUUAUUUAUUAGAAAUUAAUUUUCAUAGUGAAAAAGCUUAAAUAAUUUAAAGGGACGAAAAGACCCUAUUGAGCUUUAUAUUAUUGUUUAAAUUUAUUAUGCUGUUUUUAUUUAAAAUAAUUUUGGUUGGGGUGAUCAAGGAAUAAAAUAUUAAAUUUAUUAACUUCCUUAUUAUAUUUAAAUAUCUAUAUUAAUAAACCAAACUUUUUGCUUAGAAGAUAAGUUACCAUAGGGAUAACAGCGUAAUUUUUUUUGAGAGUUCAUAUUG
rnacentral:rRNA from 1 species